ACACGGCCAUAUCUCCAUGUUACAUCGCUUAUUUAUGGAAAACAGACGGAAGAGGCGACCACCUGUACUAAUUAUCUGUCAAGAAUGCUCCAAAUACCUGUGUGAAAGCGUAACUCGGGAAGUGUAGCAGAAGUGUAGUUUCGUUGGAUGGAGGCACCCAUAGCUGUGUAGAUAAUGUGCAAGAUUGCUACAGUAAGUGUAUGUUUUUUUUAUUUGAAGGAUUCUUUCUCGCUGAUGAAAGAUAAGGGUCAUACGUUUCGAAAGCUGUAUCGCGAGCGAUGAUUAUUGACGUUUCUAAACGUUAACACACAGCGUCGGGAUUAUAGUUCACGAGGCGGUCGUGGGCGAAGCUGAUGGCGGAGAAAUGUAGGGAGAGUUUCAGAGCUAACUCACAGCCUACUACAGCCUUGUAUAUAUUGUUUUUAUCUCCUGCAUUCAUUGCCAUGCCAUAUGUGUCCACCUACUCUGCUAUGCAUCUUAUCUGACACUAGGGGCACGACUCAGAGAGUCCAUCCACACUAGCCCAACUCCACUGGUUUUGCUAAAAAAUAUUAUGUAUUCAACUAUAUGACGGCAGAAAGUAAUGACAGAUUGUUCUGCUCCUUGCCCUCAGGGUCCAGUCGUUUACCCGGCUUUUUAUAUCUCCACACAGUUAUUUUUCCAGGUAGUUGUUGAAAUAAGAUGUUUUACUGUAAUUGACCUACCCGGUUAAAUAGCCUAAAUAAAAUAAUUAUAAUAAUGAAGUCUGUCUGUAAACUGUUAGGGAUUGACUGUGUUGAAUGCAAGGAUAGACGUAUCUUUAUACCCAGAUGUGAAAGGAUUCAGGAAAACAAAAGGACAUUGACCUUAUAUCCUGACCAAGAACUGCAAGUGUCAAAUACAGUGACCAGGAGCAGGUCUCAGCUGGCCAAGACGUGUCACGGGCGCUCCGGGGCUGUUGUGACCCGGGCCAACAUCCCGUUGUGGUCAAACGUCACUUACGACGACGACAAGAAAAAUCUCCUGGUCACCUCCAAACUGUUCAACAUGUUUGCCCAGGUGGCUACCUCACGGGGAAUAUAGAAUAUCAAUUACAUUUCCAGAUCACAGCUGCUGUUGGUUAGAAGCCCUCCAUUGCCCACCGCUGCACAUGUCUUUGCGGUCAGAUUCGGAAAGGGCUGCACCUGCUCACAGUGUUCCUCCCAUUCACUGACGUGAACAGCGCCAUCAAACAGAUGAGCUCAAAAGAAACCAACAUCUUUGAAGCUACGCAUUGCAAAAUGGUUCGCAGUGAUGACGUACAUCCACAUACAACACCCGUUCUGCCAGUCACGUUCUGUUAAAGGUCCCCAAAGCACACACAUCCCUGGGUCGCUUGUCUUUUCAGUUCGCUGCACCCAGCACCUGGAACGAGCUGCAACAAACACUCAAACUGGACAGUUUUAUCUCAAAAUCUUCAUUCAAAGACUCAAUCAUGGACACUCUUACUGACAGUUGUGGCUGCUUUGUUGUUUCUACCUUCUUGACCUUUGUGCUGUUGACUUUGCUUAAUAAUUUACAUUGUAGUCAUUUAACAGACACUCUUAUCCAGAGCAACUUACAGUAGUGAAUGCAUACAUUUCAUUUUUUUUUUUGUUGUUGUACUGGCCCCCCGUGGGAAAUGAACCCACAACCCUGGCAUUGCACACACCAUGCUCUACCAACUGAGCCACAGGGAAGACUAAUAAUGUUUGUGCCAUGUUUUUGUGCUGCUACCAUGUUGUGUUGCUACCAUGCUGUGUUGUCAUGUGUUGCUGCCUUGUUAUGUUGUUGUCUUAGGUCUCUCUUUAUGUAGUGUUGUGUUGUCUCUCUUGUUGUGAUGUGUGUUUUGUCCUAUAUUUAUAUUGUAUUUAUUUUUUAAAUCCCAGGCCCCCGUCCCCGCAGGAGGCCUUUUGCCUUUUGGUUGGCUGUCAUUGUAAAUAAAAAUGUGUUCUUAACUGACUUGCCUUGUUAAAUAAAUAAAAAAUGAAUGUUAUAAAAGAACUGAGAACAAAGAGAUACCGGUUUAGAAACAAAUAAUGAAUACUAAUAGGAAGUGUGAUGGUGUGGGGUGCUUUGCUGGUGACACUGUGAUUUAUUUAGAAUUCAAGGCACACUUAACCAGCAUGGCUACCACAGCAUUCUGCAGCAAUACGCCAUCCCAUCUGGUUUGCGAUUAGUGGGACUAUCAUUUGUUUUUCAACAGGACAAUGACCUGAAACACACCUCCAGGCUGUGUAAGGGCUAUUUGACAAAGAAGGCGAGUGAUGGAGCAUCACAUGACCUGGUCUCUACAGUCACCCAACCUCAACCCAAUUGAGAUGGUUUGGGAUGAGUUGGACCGCAGAGUGAAGGAAAAGCAGCCAACAAGUGCUCAGCAUAUGUGGGAACUCCUUCAAGACUGUUGGGAUAGCAUUACAGGUGAAGCUGGUUGAGAGAAUGCCAAGAGUGUGCAGAGCUGUCAUCAAGGCAAAGGUUGGGUACUUUGAAGAAUCUCAAAUAUAAAAAAUAUGUUGAUUGUUUUUUGUUACCUCAUGGUUCCAUAUGUGUUAUUUCAUAGUUUCGAUGUCUUCAUUAUUAUUCUACAAUGUAGAAAAUAGUAAAAAUUAGAGGGCAACCGAUUGUCACGUCCUGACCAGUAUAAGGGGUUAUUUGUUAUUGUAGUUUGGUCAGGACGUGGCAGGGGUGUGUUUGUUUAGAGUGUUUCGGGGUUUGUUGGGUUAUGUUCUUGUUAGUCUAUGUUAGUUCUAGUAUGUCUAUUUCUGUGGUGUUUGUUGGGUUGACCUUCAAUUGGAAGCAGCUGCUCCUACUUGCUUCUAAUUGAAGGUCCUAUUUAAGAGGGGUGUUUUUUCUAUGGGAUUUUGGGUAGUUGUUUCGUGUAUAGCUGUAUGCCUUACAGGACUGUUUGUCGUCGUUGUUUUUGUAUACAUGUGUUUUGUUUUGGUUUUCCUUCUUUCUGCCAAUAAAAAGAAGAUGAGUACACAGACUCCCG
ensembl:lncRNA